rnacentral:rRNA from 1 species
UGCCAGCCGCCGCGGUAAUACGGAGGGAGCUAGCGUUGUUCGGAAUUACUGGGCGUAAAGCGCGCGUAGGCGGUUACUCAAGUCAGAGGUGAAAUCCCGGAGCUCAACUCCGGAACUGCCUUUGAAACUAGGUAACUAGAAUCUUGGAGAGGCGAGUGGAAUUCCGAGUGUAGAGGUGAAAUUCGUAGAUAUUCGGAAGAACACCAGUGGCGAAGGCGACUCACUGGCACAUUUCUGACGCUGAGGCGCGAAAGCGUGGGGAGCAAACAGGAUUAGAUA